GACGAACGCUGGCGGCGUGCUUAACACAUGCAAGUCGAACGGAGAGGCCUCUUUCGGGGGGUACUCGAGUGGCGAACGGGUGAGUAACACGUGAGUAACCUGCCCUUGACUUUGGGAUAACUUCAGGAAACUGGGGCUAAUACCGGAUAGGAGCUCCUGCUGCAUGGUGGGGGUUGGAAAGUUUCGGCGGUUGGGGAUGGACUCGCGGCUUAUCAGCUUGUUGGUGGGGUAGUGGCUUACCAAGGCUUUGACGGGUAGCCGGCCUGAGAGGGUGACCGGCCACAUUGGGACUGAGAUACGGCCCAGACUCCUACGGGAGGCAGCAGUGGGGAAUAUUGCACAAUGGGUGGAAGCCUGAUGCAGCAACGCCGUGUGCGGGAUGACGGCCUUCGGGUUGUAAACCGCUUUCGCUCAUGACGAAGCUUUGUGUGACGGUAGUGGGUAAAGAAGCACCGGCUAACUACGUG
rnacentral:rRNA from 1 species